rnacentral:rRNA from 1 species
CAGUAGCCGCGGUAAUACGAACCGUGCGAACGUUAUUCGGAAUCACUGGGCUUAAAGCGCGUGUAGGCGGGCCGCCACGUCGGCUGCUGAAAUCCCCCGGCUCAACCGGGGAAGUGGCACCGAUACGAGCGGCCUGGAGGGGGGUAGGGGGGACUGGAACUUCCGGUGGAGCGGUGAAAUGCGUUGAGAUCGGAAGGAACGCCCGUGGCGAAAGCGAGUCCCUGGACCCUUACUGACGCUGAGACGCGAAAGCCAGGGGAGUGAACGGGAUUAGAUACCCCCGUAGUCCCUGUCUCUUAUA